UACGUAGGGUGCGAGCGUUAAUCGGAAUUACUGGGCGUAAAGCGUGCGUAGGCGGCCCGCGAAGUCUGAUGUGAAAGCCCCGGGCUCAACCUGGGAACUGCAUUGGAAACUAACGGGCUCGAGUGUGGCAGAGGGGGGUGGAAUUCCACGUGUAGCAGUGAAAUGCGUAGAGAUGUGGAGGAACACCGAUGGCGAAGGCAGCCCCCUGGGCUAACACUGACGCUCAGGCACGAAAGCGUGGGGAGCAAACAGG
rnacentral:rRNA from 1 species